GACGAACGCUGGCGGCGUGCCUAAUACAUGCAAGUUGAGCGAUGAAGAUUGGUGCUUGCACCAAUUUGAAGAGCAGCGAACGGGUGAGUAACGCGUGGGGAAUCUGCCUUUGAGCGGGGGACAACAUUUGGAAACGAAUGCUAAUACCGCAUAAUAACUUUAAACAUAAGUUUUAAGUUUGAAAGAUGCAAUUGCAUCACUCAAAGAUGAUCCCGCGUUGUAUUAGCUAGUUGGUGAGGUAAAGGCUCACCAAGGCGAUGAUACGUAGCCGACCUGAGAGGGUGAUCGGCCACAUUGGGACUGAGACACGGCCCAAACUCCUACGGGAGGCAGCAGUAGGGAAUCUUCGGCAAUGGACGAAAGUCUGACCGAGCAACGCCGCGUGAGUGAAGAAGGGUUUCGGAUCGUAAAACUCUGUUGGUAGAGAAGAACGUUGGUGAGAGUGGAAAGCUCAUCAAGUGACGGUAACUACCCAGAAAGGGACGGCUAACUACGUG
rnacentral:rRNA from 1 species